UACGUAGGGGGCAAGCGUUGUCCGGAUUUAUUGGGCGUAAAGAGCGUGUAGGCGGCUUGGUAGGUCCGCUGUGAAAACUCGAGGCUCAACCUCGAGAUGUCGGCGGAAACCACUUGGCUAGAGUCCGGAAGAGGAGAGUGGAAUUCCAGGUGUAGCGGUGAAAUGCGUAGAUAUCUGGAGGAAUACCGGUGGCGAAGGCGGCAUCCUGGACCGACAUUGACGCUGAUGAGCGAAAGCUAGGGGAGCAAACGGG
rnacentral:rRNA from 1 species